GUACUUUCUUUGGCAGUACCUUUAACUAAAUUCGGAAUAAUACCAAAGAGAUUAACAUGGCUCCUAUGCAAGGAUGACAUGCAGUUUCAUGAAGCAUUCCAUAUUUUC